AGUCUAAUUUUUAAAAAUCAUCAAAAAUAGUGGAAAUUGAGUUGGAGGUUGAAUAAAAUAUGAAAUUAAAAUUUAUUGAGUCUAGUUUUUCAUGGAAGAAACAGUGUAGGCAAUGAAAUUGUAAGUUAUGAGAUAUAAUGAAUUUUAUUGGACAAUGUCAGAAUGGUUUCGGGUUCUCUUGUUCUGACUUCGAAAAAUUAUCAAAAUUUGUAAAAAAAUAAUAGGGGCUUAAAUAUAUACGUUUAAAUCGUUAAUGAGUCUACUUUCAAGAUGAACAAACGAAAACAUCAUCCAAAUUUUGUACUAAGAGACAAAUAAUUUUUAAUAAGGAAAGGUUGAAGCUAUCAAACAGCAAAAUAGGGAUAACUCUGAAGAUUUUAUUAUACUUAUUUGGUAAGCUAUAAAUUCUAAAAAUUUUAUGGUAGAAAGGUAUUUGAGUCUAGUUUCAAAAAAAUUAAGCAGAUCUUAAUGUGGAAUUCUGUAGCUCAAGUUAUAAAUAAUUUAGUGACAAUGACUCAAGUAGACAGCUCUGAAUGAUCAUAUUAGUAAAUAGUGGAAACAUAUAUGAAUAUUUAGCUAGCAUGGGUUACAUUAAAAAUGGUCACACGGCCAAGGCAAAUUUGGGCCGAGUGGACCACACGGGCUUACUUGAGCGUGUGGGCCCAUUUUUACCGAAAUGUUUCUAUGGUUGCACGAGUCGCCCAAGUCAACUGUGAACCAACCGUAAGGUCGGUAAGCGCUACUUAGGCCCCUAAAUGUGUGAAAUUAACUGAAUUAUAUUUGUACUGAGCAUGUUAAUAUCUGAAUUGAAUAUAUGUACUGAAAUUGCAUAAUAGCAUAUCAUCCAUGGUAUGUUGCAUUACAUUGGGUUAGGGGUUGUUAUUUGGAGGAUGUAUACUAAAAGGCUUUAAACCUAAUUUAAUGGCAGGUCAGCCGGAAACUACUGUUUUGUGCCACAUUCGGUGCUAUUUGGAGUGUAGGGAUGGUCGGGUUGAUUAUAUCCCCACAUGGACUGUAGGGUUGGAUGAAGAUGGUGUGUAGAGGCUGGUUGGGUAGGAUUUUGCAAUUGCUUAAUUGUUACUGGUAUUGAUACUGUGAUGGGUUAAGGCCGUACUGCAUUUUUGACACUACUGAGAUGGACUAAGGCGCAAUCUGUCACUAAUACAAAAAACGGCUUAGGCCCAAAACUGUUCAACUGUGCACUAUGAAUAUUGAUUGAUUGUUUGUUUCUACGGGAUUACGUAAACUCACCCUUUUUGUUUAAUGUGCACAGGUAAUCUCCAAACUUAGACGGAUCGAUGCGAUGGAGGACUCAGCGGUGACCACAGUAAUUUUUGGACUUCAUGGUUUUCAAUUACGAUUUAUGAUUUGAUUAUUAUGUAUUAUUUGGGUUGUAAUUUAAGGACCCUCUAAGACUUUCGUAUUAAAUUUUGAGUUUUUAUUUAUUUAUUUUACCUUAUGGAUUUAUACCUGCUGGUCGUAGGAAAUUCGGUUUUCAAAAAGUUAAAGUAUUUUCUAAACGCAUGAUCACUUAGAAUGUUUUAUUAAAGCUUCCGCAACGAGAGAUGUUUCGAAAAAAUGUUUUAAAUGAAUAAAGAUGACUUCCUAAGUUUUAACAAAGGUUUACUAAAGAUAAUAACAUGGAAUGUUUUCAUCGUAACAACGAGGUUUUAAAAACACUUUCGUGUGACAUUGCUAGAUACAACCAUAACGUCGAGGCUGGGUUUGGGGUGUUACAUUUAGUGGUAUCAGAGCCAGGUUACAAAACUCAGCUGUGGAUUAUGGGUUUUAAAUUGUCUUUGAAAAAUUGGUUUUUAAAUGAUUUGAAAUAUUUCUACUGAGUAUGCGGUGCACCAAUUCUUCGGCGUUGUAAACGGAAAAAUAUAUAGGAUUUUUCCUAUGUAAUUUAUCACCUUUUUACUUAAAUCCGUUGUUAAAAUUAAGUAAUUGUUUAAUAAUUUAAUGAAAUAUGUGAAAAUAUGAAAUUAGAACAUAAAAGUUAUUAAAAUGUGAUUUUAUGAUUUAUUAUAUAGUUUUCAUACAAUAAAUGGCUUAUUUUAUAUUAAUUUGAAUAUAUUAUUUUUUAAGACAUAAAGUGGGCCAUGCGUGAUUAAAUUAAAUAAUAAAAUAUAAAAUUAUAUUUAUUAAUUCAUUUUAAAAUAUUUCAUUAAUAAUUUGGGUUUUUAAUUAGUUAAUUAAAUUGGAUAAAUUUUAUUCUUUGGUCCUCUAACUUGUUAAUUUAUUCUGGACAGGUUUGAUAGCUUUGUUGGAUUACAAAAUCAUCCAAAUUAGAGACCAAGUCAACCCCAAAAUUCGGCUGCAUAUGGCUGUCCAUAAACCACUCUUUAGUUUAAUUGCACAAGGUCCUUGAAGAGUUGAAGAAAUUAGAGAUUUACCUGAAGAUUUGCACUUGACUGAGUCUCAGUCCUGAGUUAUUGUGGCACUCAAAUUUACCAAAAAUAAAAAAACUCACCUCAACUUGCUCAAUUUAUGGCCGACCACCCAUGGAAGAUGCUUCAAGGGAUGAAAACUCCUAUUUUUAGCAAACUAUCCGCCUCUCCUCACCUAUAAAUAAGACCCUCUCAUUCCUUCAUUCAUUUUCCCUCAAGCAUCAUUCUCUCUUUUCUCCAAAUUCUCUUAGCCUUUUCCAUUCCUACGCCUAGCAUCAUCUCUUCAUAGAGAUUUUAGUAAUUAAGCCUCUUAAAGAACCCUUGGUCGGCCACCUUGGAAAGCCAUCAGCAACGGAGCAAAGCAGAGGAACGAAGGAGCCUCAUCAGUCAGAGUCUUGGGUGACAACCAUUCUGAGUUGGGUUUAAUCGUCCUUUUCUUUAAUUUAAUAUGAAGAUGUUUGCUAUGUGUUCUUUGUUCUAGUUUACAACAAUGUUAGCUUAGUUUUAUUUAAGCUAGGAUGAUUGCUUUGAUUAAAUAAUAUUUAUUUGAUUCAUGCUUAUAAUGUCUAUGCCUCAAUCGAUCAUGUUUUCAAUUAAAAUCAAGUCUGUAUUUUGUUCAUACGUGAUUGAAAUGCACCUAAAUUAGCUGAGCGAUCCUACCAGAUGGUGGCUAAUGGACACAUAAUUGAAAUGUGCAUACUCAAUUUAGAUCAUGACCCGAUUAAAUUGAAUGUUGCAUAACAACUCUGACCAAGCUCUGUUAUCUGCAUAGUUUUUAGAUUUGUGUGAUUAAAUUAUUUCAAACCUGACAUGUCCCUGUUACCUCACACAAAUUUUAAGAAACCCUUAGUAAAUAAAGAUCAGUAAAAUGCGUAUUUCCUAAGUAAAGGAUUCCGGAAGGACCUAAUGUAGUUUCCAAACUCAUGAAAGAUUAAGUUGCCAUGGAAUGUUUUUUCGAAUGUUAUUAAGCAUGUUGAUAAUAAAUUGAGUUUGAUUAAAGUAAUUAUCCUAGUUUAUUUAUGUUAUAAUUGUUGCAAAUUGUGUUUAAUUUUACUAAAAUCUAUUUCAUUCAUAUAGUUUGCAUACUUGGGAUAAUUUGCAUUAGGGAUCAUUGCAUUUAGUUUAAUAUAUUUUAAUCACCACUUCUCAACUAUAUUGUGUUUUUAUUUUCUGAAUUGUUAAUAUAAUUUUCAAAUUAAGUGACUUAGCACAAAUACAAUCCCUGUGGAGAUGAUAACUCGAUACUUACUUCUUACUUUAUAACGACUAUGUACACUUGCACAAACCUACGCGUUACAGGCUCCGAUCCUGUAAGUGUUCUGAAACUGAUACAUGCUGUGAUAUUCUAAAACUGAUAUAUUUUAUGAUAUUCAGAAACUACUAUAGGUAGUAUACUGUGAAAACACUCUAGAUAGUGUAUAUUGAGACUAUAGCAAAACUGAUAGAAAUUGUGAUUUACGAAAAUCACUCUGAAUUACUGAAACUGUUUACAUAAAACAUCUGUUAGUAAAUACUGAAACUAAAAUGGAUGCAUAAAAAUUUGUAAUAUAGAUAAAUCUGAAUAGACAUGAGUGCACGAGGUAUUCAUGGACGUGGUACUCGAGGCCGAGGUAGAGGUCGAAGGGGAUUCGAUCUGAGUCAUCUUCCCUAGGUAAUAUUCCGAAUUUGGACACGAGUGAGACGCUAGUGUCACCUGCUACUGAGACUAAGUCUCAUGAUCGCAUGGCUGGGGAUGACGCAUUGUCCCAGGAUAUGUUGAGGAUAUUGGAGAGGGUUGCUGGGCCUAAUACUGGAUCUGGGGGCUCUGGGUCGGUUACGAAACGACUCCUGUUCAAUGAAGCUGAGCUCUUCAGAGGUGUCACUGGGGUGCCCCUAAUGUGCCUGAGUACUAGAUUGAGGCCACAAAGGAGAUCAUGGAUGACCUGGAUUGAGCCUCCGAGUAAAUAUUAAAGGGUGUAGUCUUGCUAUAGCGUGAUGAGGCUUAUCAUUGGUGGCUUACUGUUAAGGAGGGCAUUCAGGCUGAACGUCUAACCUGGGAGUUCUUUAAGACCGCCAUCUAGGGGAAAAAUAUGGGAGCUAGUUAUGAGGACGGCCGUAGGAGGGAGUUCCUGAAUCUAACAUAGGGAGAUCGAUCAGUGGCCGAGUGUGAGGCCAAAUUCCUACGACUGAGCUGCUAUGCGCGAGGUAUGAUGGCGACUGAGUAGGAGCGUUCUGUCCGCUUAAAUGAUGGCCUCAGAGAUAAUUUGAGUGUUUGAAUAGCUCUGUAGAAGGAGCAUGAUUUUUUUCACCGGUUGAGAAUGUGAAGAUCGCCGAGGAGGUUAAGCGCGCUGAGCGCCAAAACUGCGAUAGGGAGAGAGGUAGGAACAAGAGAGAUUCAGAGCCCUUAAGUUAUAUGCAGAGGCCUAAGAAAAAGACCAGAGCUGAUGGGCCAGUCAAAGCUGGGCCCCCUAUUACUGCUACUGGACUGUAGCCAUGUGUCGACUGUGGUAGAUGCCAUCAGGGCGAGUGUUGAAGAAGGACUGGGGCAUACUUGCGGUGUGGCUCAUUUGAGCACCGUAUUAGGGAGUGUCCGUUGAAGGCUGAUCGGAUGUAAGCUCCAGAUACUGGUACGACACAACCACAGAAGGUAGUGCAGCAGCCACCGAAGGGCCGUGGAUAGGCCAGAGGUGGUAAUGGUAUGGGUCGUAGCCAGAGAGCAUCGGGCAGAGGUGCUGGACAGGCUGAGGCAAGACAGUCGACCCUAGUUUAUGCUUCUCGUCGCCGAGAAGAUGGAGAUGCUCCGGAUGUCAUUACAAGUACAUUUUUUUAUUCUUGAUGUACCGUAUAUUGCUUUGAUAGACAUAGGGUCUACUCACUCAUACAUAGCUAGGAACAUAUCUGAAAAUUUAGGGAUUUCAGUUGAGAGUAUUUCUAGUUAGUUGACUGUGCUGAGCCCACUGGGGCAAUCUGUUAGAGUUAGCAAACUGUACAGGGAUGUUCCUUUAGAGGUUCAAGGGACGGUAUUUCUGGCUGAUUUGAUGGAGCUUCCGUUUGAGGAGUUCGAUAUGAUAUUGGGGAUGGACUGGUUGGUCAAGGAUCGUGUCAGUUUGGACUGUGCAACUAAGAAGGUCGUAUUAAGAACUGAGGAGGGUAAUAAAGUAGUUGUGAUUGGGAAACGUCGAAAUGACUUGGCUAACGUGAUCUCUACACUGGUAGCAGAGAAACUGGUUCGGAAGGGAUGUGAGGAGUUCUGGUUACGUGAAGUAAUAUUACUUGGUCAUGUAGUGUCUGCUGAGUGGAUUCGAGUCGAUCCUUAAAAAAUUGAGGCUGUAUUGGAUUGGAAGCAGCCUAAGAAUGUGUCUGAGAUCCGCAGCUUUCUGAUGUUGGUCGGUUAUUAACGACGGUUUGUGGAAGGAUUUUUAUUGAUCGCAAAACCCUUGACUAAAUUGCUACGUAAAGGUGUACUGUUUGACUAGACUAAUGCAUAGUAAGAGAGCUUUGAGAAGCUUAAGACUGUACUGACUGAGGCUCCUAUUUUGGUAUAGCCUGAACUUGGAAAGGAGUUCACGGUUUAUAGUGAUGCAUACAUGUCGAUUUGGGAUGCGUAUUGAUGCAGGAUGGUAAGGUGGUUGCAUAUGCGUCUCGUUAGCUUAAGACACACGAGGUGAAAUAUCUGACAAACGAUUUAGAGUUGGCCGCCGUAGUAUUUGCAUUAAAAAUCUGGAGGCAUUAUUUGUAAUGCGAGAAAUGUAGCAUCUACACUGAUCACAAAAGCCUCAAGUAUCUUCUUACUCAGAAGAAGUUGAAUCUAAGGUAGCGAAGAUGAGUUGAGCUGCUUAAGGAUUACGACUGUACCAUUGAGUACCAUCUAGGCAAGGGCAAUGUGGUGGCUGAUGCGUUGAGCCAUAGGGCUAUGACCGAUCUGAGAGCGAUGUUCACUAGACUUAGCCUAUUCGAUAGAGAAAGUCUGUUGGCAGAACUUCAGGUCAAACCGACAGGGAUUGAACAGAUUCGAGGUAAAUAGUUGGGGGAUAAGUCUUUCAGGUUGCAUUUUCGUCAGGUUGAGAAUGGUUGCACUAUUGACAUUGGGAUAAACAGUGAUAGGGUACUUUGUUUCCGCGAUCGGAUUUGUGUAAUGAAUGAUGAGGAUUUAAGGCAGUCGAUUUUGAGAGAGAAGCAUGGUAGUCCCUAUGCUAUGCAUCCCAAUGGGAACAAGAUGUACCGAGAUCUUUGGAAAUUGUACUGGUGGCCAGGGUUGAAGUGUGAGGUUAUUGACUUCAGAAAUUAGCUAAGCUCUACAUAUAAGAAAUAGUGAGACUGCAUGGGGUACCUGUCUCGAUCAUUCUGAUAGGGAUCCUCGUUUCACGUUCGGUUCUGGAAGAAGUUUCAUGAGGCACCGGGUUCAAGAUUACACUUUAGUAAUACUUUCCAUCCUCAAAUAAAUGGUCAGUCGGAGAGGGUGAUUCAGAUACUGAAGGACAUGUUGAGGAGGUGUGUUAAUGAUUUCUAAGGCAGUUGAGAGGAGUACUUUUCGUUAGCAGAGUUUGCCUACAAUAAUAGCUUCCAGUCUAGUAUCCAGAUGGCACCUUACGGGGUACUGUACGGUCGUAAGUGUUGCACUCCUUUAUGUUGGACUGAGACGUGUUCUAGGUAUUGAUUUGGUCUCUGAGACAGAGGAUAAUGUUAGAUUGAUUCGGGAUCUUUUGAAAGCGGUUUCUGACAGGAAAAAAUCUUAUGCAGAUUUGAAGAUGGUGAGAUCGAGUAUUCUAUGGGGGACUUAGUUUUUCUCAAGGUCUCGCCAUGAAAAGAGGUUCUGAGGUUCGGUCGCAAGGGCAAGCUGAGCCCUCGGUUUAUUGGACCUUACCGCAUUCUGAAACGUGUGGGACCUGUCGCUUAUUAGUUGGAGUUACCUCUGAAGUUGGACCACAUUCAUGAUGUAUUUCACGUCUCGAUGUUGAGGCACUACCACUCUGAUCCCACGCAUGUUGUUUCUGUUGAGGAGAUUGAGGUUAGGCCAAACUUGAUCGUCGAGGAGGAGUCGGUUCAGAUUCUGGAGCGUGAUGUAAUGGUCAUUCAAAAAAAUUCUAUUCCCUUAAUGAAGGUUCUAUGGCGUAAUCAUAGCACUGAGGAGGCCACGUGGGAGCCUGAGGAUGUGAUACGUCAGCGGUAUCCACAACUAUUCUAAUCAGGUAAAUUUCGAGGUCAAAAUUCUUUUAGGGGGUGGAAUUGUAACGCCCCAAAAUUUCUAAUUUCGUUAUUGUGAAAAUAUGAUACAAAUAUCUGUCAGCUUUAGUGGUUCUGAGUUCUGGGAGUGUUUGGGAGGUCUUAAGUUCAAGCUUUCGCUUGGGAAUAUUUUGGUAUUUUAAAUGAAUUAGGCCUUACUCUUGUUCAAUAGGCUUUUAUUUGAUUGUUGGUAAAAAGUUAUCAGAAUGGGCUUGCAGGUCUGGUGAUUAAGCGGAGUGGUAGUAUGUAGGAGGUUCUGUGUUCGAGUCCUUGCACAAGUAGGGGAAUUAAUUUUUGUUUGAGGCAUGUAGCGUGGAGGAGUUCAAAUUAAACUGAAUUGUUGAGUAGUUUCGUUUUAGUGGGUUAAUAGGGAGUGUUUUUAAGAGAUAAUUGGGGAGAAGUUAUCAAAAUAAGAUUUUCUCCUUAUCAGUUUUCUAUUUUUUUUCUUUUCCCAACAAAAUUUCUGACGUUAGACUUUUGUUUCUCUACCGUGUUUUUUCCCUUUUUGUUCACUUUUGGUUUUUGUUCCCCUUUGGCCGAGUCUUGUUUCUUCUCUUUCCCCUCUCUUUUUGUUUUUGUAUUUUUUUUUGUGAGUCAUCUCUUUGGGUGCAACUUUCGACUUCAUCUAUUUCUGUAAGUGGAAUUUUUCCCUUUAGUUAUCGCAUUUCGAUUAGGCAGUUAACAAAGGGUACGUUUUACUCUCGUUUAGGUGCUGUUCAAAGGUUUUAAGCGGAUAUUUCAGUGUGUGGAGACGAUUGGUUAUCGGAUUCAUCGUGGUAAGUUUUCGAAUCGUUGUUGGUUUAGUUUCUCGAGUUUUAUGUUGAGGGUAUUUUGUUGAUUGACGAAUCAAGUGAUUAAUUAAGGGAUAUAUUGGUCAAAUAUAGGUUUCUGAAGGCUCGGGUUACUUUGCACAGCGAAUAGAUACGAGGUGUGUACUCAAAACGCAGAAAAUGAGAUUCGGUGAAAAGCCGAAAUUGCUUGCUGUCGAGAAAUAAAAGAAUUAAGAGAAAAUUAUAAGAAAAAUUGUAGUGAAAGGAAAUAAGGGUGUUAUAAACUUGGAAAUCAACAUUCUGCACUAAAAUAGUUUUGGACAGCAGCAGUAGUCUAAAUUUGAAAAAUCAUCAAAAAUAGUGGAAAUUGAGUUAGAGGUUGAAUAAAAUAUGAAAUUAAAAUUUAUUGAGUUUAGUUUUGCAUGGAAGAAAUAAUGUAGGCAAUGAAAUUGUAAGUUAUGAGAUAUAAUGAAUUUUGUGAGACAAUGUUAGAAUGGUUUCGGGUUCCCCUGUUCUGACUUUGGAAAAUCAUCAAAAUUUGUAAAAAAAUAAUUAGGGGCUUAAAUAUAUACGUUUAAAUCCUUAAUGAGUCUACUUUCAAGAGAAACAAACGAAAACAUCAUCCAAAUUUCGUACUAAGAGACAAAUAAUUUUUAAUAAGGAAAGGUUGAAGCUAUCAAACAGCAGAAUAGGGAUAAAUUUGAAGAUUUUACUCUACUAAUUUGGUAAGCUAUAAAUUCUGAAAAUUUUAUGGUAGAAAGAUAUUUGAUUCUAGUUUCCAAAACAUCAAACGGAUCUUAAUUUGGAAUUCUGUAGCUCAAGUUAUAAAUAAUUUAGUGACAAUUACUCAAGUAGACAACUUUGAAUGAACAUAUUAGUAAAUAGUGGAAACAUAUAUGGAUAUUUAGCUAGCAUGGGUUACAUUAAGAAUGGAUCACACGACCAAUGCCAAUUUAGGCCGAGUGGGCCACGCGGGCAUACACGAGCGUGUGGGCCAUUUUUACCGAAAUGUUUCUAUGGUUGUACUACUCGCCCAAGUCGACUGUGAACCUACUGUAAGGUCAUUAAGCACUACUUAGACCCCUAAAUGUGUGAAAUUGACUGAAUGAUAUUUGUACUGAGGAUGUUAAUAUCUGAACUGAAUAUAUGUACUGAAAUUGCAUAAUAGCAUAUCAUGCAUGCUAUGUUGCAUUACAUUGGGUUGGGGGUUGUUAUUUGGAGGAAGUGUACUAAAAGGCUUUAAGCCUAAUUUACUGGCAGCUUAGCUGCAAACUAUAGUUUUGUGCCGCAUUCAGUACUACUUGGAGUGUAGGGAUGGGUGGGUUGAUUAUAUCCCCACAUGGAGUGUAAUGUUGGACGGAGAUGGUGUAUAGAGGCUGGUUGGGUAGGAUUUUGCUAUUGCUUAACUGUUACUGCUAUUGAUACUAUGAUGGGCUAAGGCCCUACUACAUUUUAGAUACAAUACUGAGAUGGGCUAAGGCCCAAACUGUCACUGAUACUAAAAAGGGCUUAGGCCUAAGACGGUUCAACUGUGCAUUGUGAAUACUGAUGAUUGUUUGUUUCUGUGGGAUUACACACCGAGUUUACGUAAACUCACCCUUUUUGUUUAAUGUGCAUAGGUAAUCCCCAGACUUAGACGGAUCGGUGCGACAGAGGACUCAGCGGUGGCCACAGUAAUUUUUGGACUUUAUGGUUUUCAAUUACGUUUUAUGAUUUGAUUAUUAUUGAUUAUUUGAGUUGUAAUUUAAGGGCCUUCUGUGACUUUGGUUUUAAAUUUUGGGUUUUUAUUUAUUUAUUUUACUUUAUGGAUUUAUACCUGCUGGUCAUAGGAAAUUUGGUUGUCAAAAAGUUAAAGUAUUUUCUAAACGCAUGAUCACUUAGACUGUUUUAUUAAAGCUUCGCAACGAGAGAUGUUUCAAAACAAAUGUUUUAAAUUAAUAAAGACGACUUCCUAAGUUCUAACAAAGGUUUACUAAAGUUAAUAACAUAGAAUGUUUUCAUCGUAACAACGAGGUUUCAAAAACACUGUCGUGUGACAAUGCCAGAUACGACCAUAACGUCUAGGUUGGGUUUAGGGUGUUACACAAUUUGGCAUUAAAACACUUACCCGAGGAUGAAAUCAGCAACCUCACAAUCUUAAUUCACUAAAGGGUUAAUCACCUCGCGAUUUCCACCUAAAACAAAACUCGCACAAUUAAAGAUAUGAACACCGCUACACAUAAAUCCCCCAUUUACAAAAAAAGUAGUAGAAAUCCUCGAAAGUUGAAACCCAAAAAAAAAGAUAGUUACGCAAGAAUUGAGUUGCAAUCUCUUUAAUCAAACACUUCCCUUUGAAAUUUAACGACACAAGGAUCAAUAGACAAGAAAGCAACGAAAAUUAGGAGACGAAAGAUGAAGAAAGAAUAAAGUUUGAGAAAUUCUCUUUCGUUACUGGAAACUAACAUGAAACAAACAAAUAAGAGAAAUUGGGAGAAACAUGGAAUAUGUGAAUAAUGAGAAACAAUUUUGGGGAAAUAUUUUUUAAAAAAUAAUAAAAAAAUAAAAAUACAUCCAAACUAACCAGACCCACUAAUUUAAUCCCCAUCUAAUAGAUUUUCUAGAGUUCGAUUAAAACCCAAAUUGCCCAAGAUGCACGGCAACAAGAAAAAUUAACAAAAAUAUUCCCACUUCCACAAGCAAGGAUUCAAACAUAAGACCAAAGGAUAAAUUGAAGCCUUACCAUUGAACCAGUAAGCUCAUUCUUGUCAAAAUUUGAGCUAGAAUUAAAUUUAUGUCAUAUACUGAAAAUAGGAAUUGGGGCUAAAAUAACAAAAAAUUCAAGAAACAUGAUUCGAAACCAAAACCUCUUACAUACAAACAAAACACUUACCCACGAAACCAAAUUAAUUAACUUAACAAAAAAUUUCACAAUUUGAACUCAAAAUCAGAACAUGACCCCUCUUGAUUCCAACAAUCCAAUUUCUUCUAACCCAAUUUUUGGGAUGUGACAAGUUUAUUUAGCAAGCAAUGAAUUUCCACCAAAAAGAAGCUUUAUAAGAUCAUAUCUAGCCAUAAUAUACCAAAAUGACCUACAUUUAAGAAACUAAAACAUGAUCAAACCUUCCAACAAGUUAAUAACCAAUACUCUUCAACCUAAUGAAGUUACACAAGUAAACAAACUCUUAUUAUCAUGCAUUAUAAUGCAUAACUCAAGAUUGAAAAUUCAUCACAGAGAACUUUAUAGGUUCGUUACUAAUCAAGCAUACGACAACAACCAAAAUACCGUUAAAUCAAAAGACUUAACCUAGGACAAAAUUUAACUAAAUAGAUUUAAAUGCUAUAGUUUAGUCAGGACUGAAAUUUUAAAAUUUGAAAAGUAUAAAAACUAAAAUUGAUUAAUUCAAAAACUAAAAGGAACAAAAUCGACCAUUCCUUUAAAGUAAAGUUCCUGUAGGACGAAAUGUCACAAAUCAAGAUAAGAGAUCAUCUAACACAAGCCAAUGGAUGAUACUCAGAUAAUCCAAACAAAAAGAAUGUCCACAUUCUCAUCAAGGGCCCAAUGAUCUAGAGGAUGGGCAACACCAUUAACUGAACUACGAGCAUAAUAAAAAGAAACAAAAAUCAAACCACUCACACAAAGUACGGGCCUCCUCAAUGAUUUAACCAUCAAUAGACAAGUCCAAACUACUACUCUUAAGUUUGUGAAUCACUAAAAAAUCUAACUCAACAAUAAUGCCGCUGAAGUCCAAAUCCCUAGUCAUCAUAAGGAUGUUGUGUAACAGUCCGGUUUAGGCCUUAGUUGGAUAGUGAUUUCGAGACCACGAAUCUGAGUCAAAAAAAUACUUUAAUAUUAUUUUUGGUGUCUACAACAUGUUGAUUUAUAUGUGUAAAAAUUUCAUGUGAAAAUUUUAUCGUUUGUAUGCUCAAUUUUAAAAAAAGAACUUAAUCACGUAAAAUAUAAAAGUUGUGUUCUUAUAGUUAAAGGUGUCUAUUAGCUAUGGAACCCUAAAGUGAAGGUUCUUAACUGGUAAUUAUCCCAUUUUUUAGAUAGUGGAUGAUAGUGGGAUGGCACAUGGUGUAAUUAUUAAUAUUAUUAAUGGUUAUUUAGGUAAAUUAGUAAAUAAUGUUAAAUUAAAAUAAAACAAAAUGUAUUGUCAUCUUCCACUAUUCAUCUUCACCAUAAAUUCAAGGAGAAGAAAGCCAUUGUUGGCUUUAACAUUCGGCCAAGCGCUCAUUGCUCAAAUAGGUACGGUUUUAGCUUCGUUUUUAAUGGUUUCUACGUUUUUGAGAUCGUUGCAGCUUAAUCUAGCUAGUCCGUAUCUCCGAUUUCAAAACUGUUAAAGUAUUUGAAUGUUGGGAUUGUUGAAUGCAUGAGUAUUUUGAUAGUUGAUGAUGGAAAAUAAAUAUUUGUUAAUAGAUUAAUAUGUUUAAUUAAAUGAUUUUUGAUAAAAAUGUGUAUUAAGGAUUAAAUUGUGAAAUUUGUAAAUUGAAGGGUGAAAUUAUGAAAUAAAUUGAAUAAAUGGGCUGCUAAGGACCGAAGGUAAAUUCGGCCUAACAUGGGUUUGUUGAAAUUUUGAGUAAUUUGUGUUAUUUUGAAAUAGGGACUAAAUUGUAAAAAAUGUGAAAUGUUAGGGGCUAAAAUGCAAAAUACCCAAAUUAUGUAUUUUUGGAUAAAAUUGAAUGAAUAUGUUAUUAAACAAGCCAAAUUUGAAUUGAUUAGAUCAAGAAAAGAGGAGAUUAGAUUUGGAUCGGGGAAAAAUAAAAAAAUUUCGAAUAGUCGUCCGCUUCGUUCAUGUUCGUACGAGGUAAGUUCAUAAGUGAAUAAUUGUUGUUAAAUUCAUAUGAAAAUGUAUUUAAUUGUUUCGAGUUGAAUUUUAGUAACUAUAUAUGUGUAUGUCGAAUUAAUAUAAGUAUAGGAAAAGUAACUACGAGCCUGAAACGAACGAAUUAGGACGUCCGAAAGCCCCGUGCGAACCAUAGGAAUAGUUAGGAUACACAUGUCAUGACAUAGGAUUCCGAUAUGAGUUAUCGUGUGAGACCACGUCUGGGACGUUGGCGUCGAUUUGAGAUUUACGUGUAAGACCAUGUCUAGGACGUCGGCAUUGUACAUGAUUUCAUGUAAGACCCUGUCUGGGACAGUGGCAUCGAUAUUUGAUUACAUGUAAGGCCACGUCUAGGACGUUGGCAUUGUAAGAGCUUCCAAGCUAUCUGAGUAUCCUUAUUCAUUUCGAACGGUUCAACCGGCAAUAUCGAGAAAUGAAUGACUAUGUGAAAGUAUAUCCGAUUCAGGUACGUACGAAGUGUAUAUGAUAUUCAAGAAUGAAAAGUAAGUAUGUUUCAAAUGACGAUUCGUGAAAUACAUAAUAAUGAAUGAAAUGAAUGCAUAUAAAUGAACGUUGUGAUACAUAUGCUCAUUAUAUGAAAUUGUAAUGAAAUAAGCUUAAUUAUAUUCAAUAGUUCGAGUACCAUGAAAUAUUGGUCCUAUGUUUCGAGCAUGGGAUUUAUGAAAUAUGAAACAUGGUUUUGAGGUAUGCUAGUUUGGUUUGAAAGAUGAUUAGAUAAAUGUUAUUGAUAAGGUUAAAUUAUUAAAUAUGUUACGUAUAUGUGAAAGAGUUAAAUAGGCAUGCUAGUUUGGUUUGAAAGAUGAUUAGAUAAAUGUUAUUGAUAAGGUUAAAUUAUUAAAUAUGUUACGUAUAACAGUGGAAUUAUGAAGCAUGUGUAAUAUGACUUUGAUGUAUGGUAGUUAAUUUGAAUUUUGAAUUGAUAAAUGAGAUUGAAAUGGUUGAGAUUUGCUAAAUUCGGGCUAGUUAAAGUGAAUUAUAAAUAUAAUUGAGAUGAUUUAUUUGCUUAUGGCUUACUAAGAUUUCAACGCUUACUCUGUGUGUUUUUCCUAUGUUUAUAGAGUUUUGGAGACUUGCUCGGGUUGGAAGUCAUAGGAGACCUCAUCACACUAUCCGGUUAUCGCUUCGGUAAAUAUAAGCUUUGAGUUUUUGGUUAUGUGGCAUGUAUAGGCUAGUUUUGAUAUGUUUGGUUUUGAAAUUUGUUUAUAUGUAUAUAGCCAUGCGAAAAUGGCUUGAUCAUGAUACUAAUGUUGGUAUAUAUAUUCGGUCAUGUUAUAAACUUAAUUUGGAGGUAUGUUUCAUGUUAAGUAUGUUUGUGAUGCUGGUUAUAAGAUUCAACAAUGAGAAGUGUUAAUGAUGAUGCAUAGUAGUUGUGUUUUAAUGGGUUAAUAGGGAGUGUUUUUAAGAGAUAAUUGGGGAGAAGUUAUCAAAAUAAGAUUUUCUCCUUACAAGUUUUCUAAUUUUUUUUUCCUUUUCCCAACAAAUUUUUGAUGUUAAACUUUUAUUUCUCUGCCAUGUUUUCUCCCUUCUUGUUCACUUUUCGUUUUUGUUCCCCUUUGGCCGAAUCUUAUUUCUUCUCUUUCCCCUCUCUUUUCAUUUAUGUAUUAUUUCGUGAGUCAUCUCUUUGGGUGCAACUUUUGACUUCAUUUGUUUCGAUAAGUGGAAUUUUUUCCCUUAGUUAUCGCAUUUCGAUUAGGCAGUUAACAAAGGGUUCAUUUUACUCUCGUUUAGGUGUUGUUCAAAGGUUUAAGCGGAUAUUCCAGUGUGUGGAGACGACUGGUUAUCGGAUUCGUCGCGGUAAGUUUUUGAAUUGUCGUUGGUUUAGUUUCUCAAGUUUUAUGUUGGGGUAUUUGGUUGAUUGACGAAUCAAGUGAUUAAUUAAGGGAUAUAUUGGUCAAAUAUAGGUUUUUGAAGGCUCGGGUUAAUUUGCACAAUGAAUAGAUACGAGGUGUGUACUCAAAAUGUAGAAAAUGGGAUUCGGUGAAAAGCCAAAAUUGUUUACUGUCGAGAAAUAAGAGAACUAAGAGAAAACGACAAGAAAAAUUGUAGAGAAGGGAAAUAAGGGUGUUAUAAGCUUGGAAAUCAACAUUCUGCACUAAAAUAGUUUUGGACAGCAGCAGUAGUCUAAUUUUAAAAAAUCAUAAAAAAUAGUGGAAAUUGAGUUAGAGGUUGAAUAAAAUAUGAAAUUUAAAUUUAUUGAGUCUAGUUUUAGAUGGAAGAAACAGUGUAGGCAAUGAAAUUGUAAGUUACGAGAUAUAAUGAAUUUUGUGAGCCAAUGUCAGAAUGGUUUUGGGUUCCCCUGUUCUGACUUUGGAAAAUCUUCAAAAUUUGUAAAAAAUAAUUAGGGCUUAAAUAUAUACGUUUAAAUCCUUAAUGAGUCUACUUUCAAGAGAAACAAACGAAAACAUCAUCCAAAUUUCGUACUAAGAGACAAACAAUUUUUACUAAGGAAGGGUUGAAGCUAUCAAACAGCAGAAUAGGGAUAAAUUUGAAGAUUUUACUAUAAAUUCUAAAAAUUUUAUGAUAGAAAGGUAUUUGAGUCUAGUUUUGAAAACAUCAAGCAGAUCUUAAUUUGUAAUUCUGUAGCUCAAGUUAUAAAUAAUUUAGUGAUAAUUACUCAAGUAGACAGCUCUGAAUGAUCAUAUUAGUAAAUAGUGGAAACAUAUAUGAAUAUUUAGCUAGCAUGAGUUACAUUAAAAAUGGAUCACACGGCCAAUGCCAAUUUGGGCCGACUGGGCCAAGCAGGCAUACACGAGCGUGUGGGUCCAUUUCUAUCGAAAUGAUUUUAUGGUUGCGCGAGUCGCCCUAGUCGACUGUGAACCAACUAUAAGGUCGGUAAGGGCUACUUAGGCCCCUAAAUGUGUGAAAUUGACUGAAUGAUAUUUGUACUAAGCAUGUUAAUAUCUGAAUUGAAUAUAUGUACUAAAAUUGCAUAAUAGCAUAUCAUCCAUGGUAUGUUCCGUUGCAUUGGGUUGGGGUUGUUAUUUGGAGGAAGUGUACUGAAAGGCUUUAAGCCUAAUUUACUGGGAGCUCAGCUGCAAACUACUAUUUUGUGCCGCAUUCAGUACUACUUGGAGUGUAGGGAUGGGUGGGUUGAUUAUAUCCCCACACGGAGUGUAGGGCUAGACGGAGAUGGUGUGUAGAGGCUGGGUGGGUAGGAUUUUACUAUUGCUUAACUGUUACUGCUACUGAUACUGUGAUGGGCUAAGGCCCUGCUGCAUUUUUGACACUGUACUGAGAUGGACUAAGGCGCAAACUGUCACUAAUACUGAAAAGGGCUUAGCCCAAGACGGUUCAACUGUGCACUGUGAAUACUGAUUGAUUCUUUGUUUCUACGGCAUUACACACUGAGUUUACGUAAACUCACCCUUUUUUUUAAUGAGCACAGGUAAUCCCCAAACUUACACAGAUCGAUGUGAUGGAGGGCUCAGCGGUGACCACAGUAAUUUUUGGACUUCAUGGUUUUCAAUUACGAUUUAUGAUUUGAUUAUUAUUGAUUAUUUGAGUUGUAGUUUAAGGACCCUCUAGGACUUUGGUACUAAAUUUUGAGUUUUUAUUUAUUUAUUUUACCUUAUGGAUUUAUACCUGCUGGUCGUAAGAAAUUCGGUUUUCAAAAAGUUAAAAUAUUUUCUAAACGCAUGAUCACUUACUCUGUUUUAUUAAAGCAUCCGCAACGAGGGAUGUUUCAAAACAAAUGUUUUAAAUGAAUAAAGACGACUUCCUAAGUUCCAACAAAGGUUUACUAAAGGUAAUAACAUGGAAUGUUUUCAUCGUAACAACGAGAUUUCAAAAACACUUUCGUGUGACAUUGCCAGAUACGGCCAUAACGUCUAGGCUGGGUUUGGGGUGUUACAUUUAGUGGUAUCAAAGCCAGGUUACAAAACUCAGCUGUGGAUUAUGGGUUUUAAAUUUUCUUUGAAAAAUUUGUUUUUAAAUGAUUUGAAAUAUUUGUACUGAGUAUGUGGUGCACCAAUUCUUCGGCGUUGUAAACGAAAUAAUAUAUAGGAUUUUUCCUAUGUAAUUUAUCACCUUUUUACUUAAAUCCGAUGUUAAAACUAGGUAAUUGUUUAAUAAAUUAAUGAAAUAUGUGAAAAUAUGAAAUUAGGACAUAAAAAUUUUUAAAAUGUGAUUUUAUGCUUUAUUAUAUAGUUUUCAUGCAAUAAAUGGCUUAUUUUAUAUUAAUUUGAAUAUAUUAUAUUUUUAAGACAUAAAGUGGGCCAUCCAUGAUUAAAUUAAAUAAUAAAAUAUAAAAUUAUAUUUAAUAAUUCAUUUUAAAAUAUUUCAUUAAUAAUUUGGGUUUUUAAUUAAUUUAUUAAAUUGGAUAAAUUUUAUUCUUUGGUCCUCUAACUUGUUGAUCUAUUCUGGACAGGUCUGAUAGCUUUGUUGGAUUAUUAAAUCGUUCAAAUUAGAGACCAAGUCAACCCCAAAAUUCGGCUGCACAUGGCUGUCCAUAAAUCACUCUUUAGUUUAAUUGCACAAGGUCCCUGAAGAGUUGAAGAAAAUAGAGAUUUACCUGAAGAUUUGCACAAGACCGAGUCUCAGUCCUGAGUUAUUGUGGCACUCAAAUUUACCAAGAAUCAAGGAAAAAUCAACUCAACUUGCUUAAUUUAUGGCCGACCACCCAUGGAAGAUGCUUCAAAAGAUGAAAACUCCUAUUUUUAGCAAACUAUCCCCCUCUCUUCACCUAUAAAUAAGACCCUCUCAUUCCUUCAUUCAUCUUCCCUCAAGCAUCAUUCUCUCUUUUCUCCAAAUUAUCUUAGCCUUUUCCAUUCCCACGCCUAGCAUCAUCUCUUCAUAGAGAUUUUAGCAAUUAAGCCUCUUAAAGAACCCUUGGUUAGCCACCUUGGAAAGCCAUCAGCAAAGGAGCAAAGCAAAGGAAUGAUAGAGGCUCAUUAGUCAGAGUCUUGGGUCAACCACUCUGAAUUGGGUUUAAUCUUCCUUUUCUUUAAUUUAAUAUGAAGGUGUUUGCUAUGUGUUCUUUGUUCUAGUUUACGAAAAUGUUAGUUUAAUUUUAUUUAAGCUAGGAUGAUUGCUUUCAUUAAAUAAUAUUUAUUUGAUUCAUGCUUAUAAUGUCUAUGCCUCAAUCGAUCAUGUUUUCAAUUAAAAUCAAGUCUAUAUUUCUUUCAUACGUGAUUGAAAUGCACCUAAAUUAGCUGAGUGAUCCUGACCAGAUGUUGGCUAAUAGACACAUAAUUGAAAUGUGCAUGCUCAAUUUAGACCAUGACCCGAUUAAAUUGAAGGUUGCAUAACAACUCUGACCAAGCUCUGUUAUCUACAUAGUUUUUAGAUUUGUGUGAUUAAAUUAUUUUAAACCUGACACGUCCCUAUUACCUCACACGAAUGCUAAGAAACCCUUAGUAAAUAAGGAUAAGUAAAAUGCGUAUUUACUAAGUAAAGGAUUCUGAAAGGACCUAAUGUAGUUUCCAAACUCAUGAAAGAUCUAGUUGCUAUGGAAUGUUUUUUCAAAUGUUAUUAAUCAUGUUGAUAAUAAAUUGAGUUUGAUUAAAGUAAUUAUCCUAGUUUAUUUAUGUUAUAAUUGUUGCAAAUUGUGUUUAAUUUUACUAAAAUCUAUUUCAUUCAUAUAGUUUGCAUACUUGGGAUAAUUUGCAUUAGGGAUCAUUGCAUAGUUUAAUAUAUUUUAAUCACCACUUCUCAACUAUAUUGUGUUUUUAUUUACCGAAUUGUUAAUAUAACUUUACAAAUUAAGUGACUUAGCACAAAUACAAUCCCUGUGGAGAUGAUAACUCGAUACUUACUUAUUCUGUACACUUGCACAAACCUACGCGUUACAGGUGCCGAUCCUGUAAGUGUUCUAAAACUGAUACAUGCUAUGAUAUUCUGGAACUGAUAUAUGUUAUGAUAUUCUGAAACUACUAUAGGUAGUAUACUAUGAAAAACUCUAGAUAGUGUAUAUUGAGACAAUGGCAAAACUGAUAGAGACUUCGAUUUACGAAAAUCACUCUCAGUACUGAAACUGUCUACAUAAAACAUUUGUUAGUAAAUACUGAAACUGAAACUGAUGCAUAAAAAUUUGUAAUACAGAUAAAUCUGAAUAGACAUGAGCGCACGAGGUAUACGUGGACGUGGUACUCGAGGCCGAGGUAGAGGUCGUAGGGGGGUUCGAUCUAAGUCACCUUCCCUAGGUAAUAUACUGAAUUUGGAUACGAGUGAGAUGCCAGUGUCGCCUGCUACUGAGACUGAGUCUUAUGAUCGCAUGGCUGGGGAUGUCGCAUUGUACCAGGCUAUGUUGAGGAUAUUAGAGAGGGUCGCUGGGCCUAAUAUUGGAUCUGGGGGCCGUGGGUUAGUUACGAAAUGACUCCUGUUCAAUGAAGCUGAGCUCUUCAGAGGUGUCACUGGGUUGCCCUUAAUGUGGCCGAGUACUAGAUUGAGGCCAUAAAGAAGAUCAUGGAUGACCUGGAUUACACCUCCGAGCAAAAUCUAAAGGGUGCAGUCUCGCUGUUGCAUGAUGAGUCUUAUCAAUGGUGGCUUACUGUUAAGGAGGGCACUCAGCCCGAAUGUCUAACUUGGGAGUUCUUUAAGACAGCCUUCUAGGGGAAAAUGUGGGAGCUAGUUAUGUGGAUGCCCGUAGGAGGGAGUUCCUGAAUCUAACACAGGGAGAUCGAUCAGUGGACGAGUAUGAGGCCAAAUUCCUACGAUUGAGCUGCUAUACGUGAGGUAUGGUGGCGACUGAGUAUGAGUAUUUUGUCCGCUUAAAUGAUGGCCUUAGAGAUAAUUUGAGAGUCUUAAUAGCUCUGCAGAAUAAGCGUGAUUUUUUUCACCGGUUAAGAAGGUGAAGAUCGUCGAGAAGGUUAAGCACGAUGAGCGCGAAAACUGCGAUAGGGAGAGAGGUAGGAACAAGAGAGAUUCAGAGCCCUUGAGUUAUAUGCAGAGGCCUAAAAAAAAGAGCAGAACUGAUGGGCCAGUCAAAGCUGGGCCCCCUGUUACCGCUACUGGACUGUAGCCAUGUGUCGACUAUGGUAGACGCCAUCAGUGGGAGUGUUGAAGAAGGACUAGGGCAUGCUUGCGGUGUGGCUCAUUGGAGCACCGUAUGAGGGAUUGUCCGUUGAAGGCUGAUCAGAUGUAAGCUCCAGAUACUGGUACGGCACAGCCACAAAAGGUAGUGCAGCAGCCCACGAGGGGCCGUGGAUAGGCCAGAGGUGGUAAUGGUAUAGGUCGUAGCUAGAGAGCACCGGACAGAGGUGCUGGACAGGCUGAGGCAAGACAGUCGACACUAGUUUAUGCUGCUCUUUGCCGAUAGGAUGGAGAUACUUCGGACAUCAUUACGGGUACAUUUUAUUCUUGAUGUACCGUAUAUUGCUUUGAUAGACAUAGGUCUACUCACUCAUACAUAGCUAGCAACAUAUCUGGAAAUUUAGGGAUUUCGGUUGAGAGUACUUCUAGUUUGGUGACUGUGCUGAGCCCGCUGGGGCAACCUGUUAGAGUUAGCAAACUGUACAGGGAUGUUCCGUUAGAGGUUCAAAGGACAGUAUUUUUGGCUGAUUGGAUGGAGCUUCAAUAACGUGAUCUCUGCACUGGUAGCUGAGAAACUGGUUCGCAAUGGAUGUAAGGUUUGGACUGUGCAACUAAGAGGGUCGUAUUAAGAAUUGAGGAGGGUAAUAAAGUAGUUGUGAUUGGGAAAUGUCAGAAUUACUUCCUUAGGAGUUAUCGGGUUUACCUCAAAUUCGAGAAGUGGAUUUUGGGAUUGGGCUUUUCCCUGGUAUAGCUUCGGUGUCUAUCGCUCCCUAUCGAAUGACACCUAAAGAUUUUAUAGAGCUUAAGGCUCAAAUUUAGAAGUUAGUGGAUCGUGGGUUCAUCCGUCCUAGUGUAUCCCCGUGGGGAGCAUCGGUACUCUUUGUGAAGAAUAAGGAUGGAUCCAUCAGGAUGUGUAUCGACUACCGAUAACUAAAUAAGUUGACUAUUAAGAAUAAGUAUCCACUUCCGAGGAUUGAUGAUUUGUUUGACCAGUUUCGGGGGGCGUCUGUGUUCUCCAAAAUCGACUUGCAUUCUGGGUAUCAUCAGUUGAGGGUUAAGGAGGCUGAUGUGCAUAAGACGGCAUUUAAGACUCGUUAUGGCCACUACAAGUUCCUAGUGAUGCCAUUUGGACUGACUAAUACACCGACAGCUUUUAUAUAUCUGAUGAACUGAGUGUUUCAACCCUACCUAGAUCAGUUUGUAGUGGUGUUCAUCGAUGACAUAUCAUGACGAGCACCUUAGUUUUGUUCUUCAAAUCUUGAGGGAAAAAUAGCUUUAUACUAAGUUCAGCAAGUGCGAAUUCUGGUUACGUGAAGUAACGUUUUUGGGUCAUGUAGUGUUUGCUGAGUGGAUUCGAGUCGAUCCUUAAAGAAUUGAGGCUGUAUUGGAUUGGAAACAACCUAAGAAUGUGUCUGAGAUCCGCAGCUUUUUGAUGUUGGUCGAUUAUUACCGACGGUUUGUGAAAGGAUUUUCAUUGAUCGCAGAACCCUUGACUAAGCUGCUACGUAAAGGUGUACUGUUUGACUAGACUAAUGCAUAGCAAGAGAGCUUUGAGAAGCUUAAGACUGUACUGACUGAGGCUCCUGCUUUGGUACAGCCUAAACUUGGAAAGGAGUUCACGGUUUAUAGUGAUGCAGACAUGUCGGUUUGGGAUAUGUGUUGAUGCAGGAUGGUAAGGUGGUUGCAUAUGCGUCUCGUUAGCUUAAGACACACGAGGCGAACUAUCUGAAAAACGAUUUAGAGUUGGCCACCGUAGCAUAUGCAUUAAAAAUCUACAGGCAUUAUCUAUAAUGUGAGAAGUGUAUUAUCUACACUGAUCACAAAAGCCUCAAGUAUCUCCUUACUCAGAAGGAGUUUAAUCUAAGGCAGUGAAGAUGGGUUGAGCUGCUUAAGGAUUACGACUGUACCAUUGAGUACCAUCUAGGAAAGGCCAAUGUAGUGGCUGAUGCGUUGAGCCAUAGGUCUAUGACUGAUCUGAGAGCGAUGUUCGCCCGACUUAGGUCAAACCGACAUGGAUUGAACAGAUUCGAGGUAAAUAGUUGGGGGAUAGGUCUCUGAAGUUGCAUUUUCUUCAGGUUGAGAAUGGUUGCACUACUGAGAUUGGGAUAAAUAGUGAUAGGGUACUUUGUUUCCGCUGUCGGAUUUGUGUACAGAAUCAUGAGGAUUUAAGGUAGUCAAUGUUGAGAGAGGCACAUUGUAGUCCUUAUGCUAUCAAUCCCGAUGGAAACAAGAUGUACCGAGAUCUUCAGAAAUUGUACUGAUGGCUAGGGUUGAAGCAUGAGGGAUCCUCGUUUCACGUCUCGGUUCUGGAGGAAGCUUCAUGAGGCUCUGGGUUCAAGAUUAGACUUUAGUAAUGCUUCCCAUCCUCAAAUAGAUGGUCAGUCGGAGAGGGUGAUUCAGAUAAUGAAGGACAUGUUGAGGAGUUGUGUUUUUGAUUUCUGAGGCAGUUGAGAGGAGUACUUUUCGUUAGCAGAGUUUGCCUAUAAUAAUAGCUUCCAGUCUAGUAUCCAGAUGGCACCUUACGGGGCACUGUACGGUUGUAAUCGUCGCACUCCUUUAUGUUAGACUGAGACGUGUUCUAGGCCUUGAGUUGGUCUCUGAGACAGAGGAUAAUGUUAGAUUGAUUCGGGAUCGUUUGAAAGCGGUUUCUGACAGGAAAAAAUCUUAUGCGGAUCUGAAGAUGGUGAGAUCGAGUAUUCUAUGGGGGACUUAGUUUUUCUCAAGUGCUUGCCAUGGAAAUAGGUUCUGAGGUUCGGUCGCAAGGGCAAACUGAGCCCUUGGUUUAUUAGACCUUACCGCAUUCUGAACAAGAGAGAUCCAGAGCCCUUGAGUUAUAUGCAGAGGCCUAAGAAAAAGACUAGAGCUGAUGGGCCAGUCAAAACUAGGCCAGUCAAAGCUGGACCAGUCAAAACUGGGGCAUGCUUGCGGAGUGGGUCAUUAGAGCACUAUAUUAGGGAGUGUCCACUGAAGGCUAUGUAAGCUUUGGAUACUGGUGCGACAUAGUCACUGAGUAUAGUGUAGCAGCCACCGAGGGGCCGUGGAUAGGCCAGAGGUGGUAAUGGUAUGGGUCGUGGGUGGAGAGCACCGGGCAAAGGUGCUGGAUAGCCUGAGGCGAGACAACCGACCCUAGUUUAUGUUGCUCAUCACCGAGAAGAUGGAGAUGCUCUGGAUGUCAUUACGGGUACAUUUUUUAUUCUUGAUGUACCGUAUAUUGCUUUGAUAGGCAUAGGGUCCACUCACUCAUACAUAGCUAGCAACAUAUCUUAAAAUUUGGGGAUUCUGGUUGAGAGUACUUCUAGUGAGGUGACUGUGCUGAUCCCGCCGGGCAAUCUGUUAGAGUUAGGAAACUGUACAGGGAUGUCCCUUUAGAGGUUCAAGGGACGGUAGUUUUGGCUAAUUUGAUGGAGCUUUCGUUUGAGGAGUUCGAUAUGAUAUUAGGGAUGGACUGGUUGGUCAAGCAUCGUGUCAGUUUGGACUGUGCAGCUAAGAGGCACGUAUUAAGAACUGAGGAGGGUAACAAAGUAGUUGUAAUUGGGAAAUGUCGAAAUUACUUGGCUAACAUAUUUCUUUAGGAGUUAUCGGGUUUACCUCGAAUCGAGAAGUGGAGCUCGAGAUUGAUCUUUUCCCUGGUACAACCUCGGUGUUUAUUGCUCCCUAUCGAAUGGCACCUAAAGAGUUUACGGAGCUUAAGACUCAAAUUCAGGAGUUAUUGGAUCGUGGGUUUAUCUGCCCUAGUGUGUCCCCAUGGGGAGCAUCAGUAAUGUUUGUUAAGAAUAAAGAUGCAUCCAUCAGGAUGUGUAUCGACUACCGACAACUAAAUAAGUUGACUAUUAAGAAUAAGUAUCCACUUCCGAGGAUUGAUGAUUUUUUUGACAGUUCCGAGGGGCGUCUGUGUUUUCCAAAAUUGACUUGCGUUCUGGGUAUCAUCAGUUGAGGGUUAAGGAGGCUGAUAUGCAUAAGACGGCAUUUAGGACUCGUAUGGUCAUUACAAGUUUUUAGUGAUGCCAUUUGGACUGACUAAUACACCGAUAGCUUUUAUAGAUCUGAUGAGCCAAAUGUCUCAGCCCUACCGGGAUCAGUUUGUAGUGGUGUUCAUCGAUGACAUAUUGGUUUAUUCGAGGACUGAGGAUGAGCAUGACGAGCACCUUAGGUUUGUUCUUCAAAUUUUGAGGGAAAUGCAGCUCUAUGCUAAGUUCAGCAAGUGCGAGUUCUGGUUACGUGAAGUAACAUUUUUGAGUCAUGUAGUGUCUACUGAGUGGAUUCGAGUCGAUCCUUGAUAAAUUGAGGCUGUAUUGGAUUGGAAGUAGCCUAAGAAUGUGUCUGAGAUCUGCAGCUUUUUGAUGUUGGUCGGUUAUUACCGACAACUUGUGGAAGGAUUUUCAUUGAUCGCAGAACCCUUGACUAAGCUGCUACGUAAAGGUGUACUGUUUGACUAGACUAAUACGCAGCAAGAGGGCUUUGAGAAGCUUAAGAUUGUACUAACUGAGGCUCUUGUUUUGGUACAGCCUGAACUUGGAAAGGAGUUCACGGUUUAUAGUGAUGCAUCACAUGUCGGUUUGGGAUGUGUGUUGAUGCAGGAUGGUAAGGUGGUUGCAUAUGCGUCUAGUUAGCUUAAGACAUACGAGGCGAACUAUCUGACACACGAUUUAGAGUUGGCCGUCGUAGUAUUUCCAUUGAAAAUCUGGAGGCAUUAUCUGUAAUGUGAGAAUUGUAUCAUCUACACUGAUCACAAAAGCUUCAAGUAUCUCCUUACGCAAAAGAAGUUGAAUCUAAGGCAGCGAAGAUGGGUUGAGCUGCUUAAGGAUUACGACUAUACCAUUGAGUACCAUAUUGGCAAGGCCAAUGUGGUGGCCGAUGCGUUGAGCUAUAGGGCUGUGACCGAUCUAAGAGCGAUGUUUGCUUGACUUAGCCUAUCCGAUAGUGGAAGUCUGUUGGCAGAACUUUAGGUCAAACCGAAAUGGAUUGAAUAGAUUUGAGGUAAAUAGUUGGGGCAUAGGUCUCUCAGGUUUCAUUUUCAUCAGGUUGAGAAUGGUUACACUAUUGACUUUGGGAUAAACAGUGAUAGGGUAUUUUGUUUCCGCAGUCAGAUUUGUGUACUGAAUAAUGAGGAUUUAAGGCAGUUGAUUUUGAGAGAGGCGCAUGGUAGUCCCUAUGUUAUGCAUCCCUGUGGGAACAAGAUGUACCGAGAUCUUCAGGAAUUGUACUAAUGGCCAAGGUUAAAGUGUGAGGUUACUGACUUUAAAAAUUAGCUAAGCUCUAUAUAUAAAAAAUAGUGAGGCUUCAUGGGGUACCUGUCUCGAUCAUUUCUGAUAGGGAUCCUCGUUUCACGUCUCGGUUCUGGAAGAAGCUUCAUAAGGCUCUGGGUUCAAGAUUAGACUUCAGUACUGCUUUCCAUCCUCAAACAGAUGGUCAGUCGGAGAGGGUGAUUCAGAUACUGGAGGACAUGUGGAGGAGCUGUGUUAUUGAUUUCUGAGGCAGUUGAGAGGAGUAGUUGUCAUUAGUGGAGUUUGCCUACAAUAAUAGCUUCCAGUCUAGCAUCUAUAUGGCACCUUACGGGGAACUGUACGGUUGUAAGUGUCGCACUCCUUUAUGUUGGAUUAAGACGUGUUCUGGGUCUUGGGUUGGUCUCUAAGACAGAGGAUAGUGUUAGAUUGAUCCGGGAUCGUUUGAAAGUGGCUUCUGACAGGAAAAAUCUUAUGCGGAUUUGAAGAUGCGUGAGAUUGAGUAUUCUGUGGGGGACUUAGUUUUUCUCAAGGUCUCGCCAUGGAAUGAGGUUCUGAGGUUCGGUCGCAAGGGCAAGCUGAGCCCUCAGUUUAUUGGACCUUACCGCAUUCUGAAACGUGUGGGACCUGUCGCUUAUCAGUUGGAGUUACCUCCGAAGUUGGACCAUAUUCAUGAUGUAUUUCACGUCUUGAUGUUGAGGCGCUAUCGCUUUGAUCAGAUUGAGGUUAAGCCAAACUUGACCUUUGAGGAGGAGCCGAUUGAGAUUCUAGAGCGUGAUGUAAAGGUCAUUCAGAAAAAUUCUAUUCCCUUAGUAAAGGUUCUGUGCCGUAAUCAAGGUUCUGUGGCGUAAUCAUAGCAAGGAGGAUGCGACGUGGGAGCCUGAGGAUGCGAUGCAUCAACAAUAUCCUCACCCAUUCAGAUUAGGUAAAUUUCGAAGUCGAAAUUUUCUUUUAUGGGGUAGAAUUGUAAUGCCCCAAAAUAUGAUACAAAUAUCUAUUAGCUUUAGUGGUUCUGAGUUCUGGGAGUGUUUGGGAGGUCUCAAGUUCAAGCCUUCACUUGGGAAAAUUUUGGUAUUAUGAAUGAAUUAGGCCUUACUCUUGUUCAGUAGGCUUUUAUUUGAUUGUUGGUAAAAAGUUAUCAGAAUGGGCCUGCAGGUCUGGUGGUUAAGCGGAGUGGUAGUGUGUAGGAAGUCCUGUGUUUGAGUCCCUGCGCAAGCAGGGGAAUUAAUUUUUGUUUGAGGCGUGUAACGUGGUGGAGUUCAAAAUAAACUGGAUUGUUGAGUAGUUUUGUUUUAGUGGGUUAAUAGGGAGUGUUUUUAGGAGAUAACUGGGGAGAAGUUAUCAAAAUAAGAUUUUCUCUUUAUCAGUUUUCUAUUUUUUUCUUUUCCCACCAAAUUAUUUGACGUUAAACUUUUGUUUCUCUACCGUGUUUUCUCCCUUUUUGUUCACUUUUGGUUUUUGUUCCCCUUUGGCCGAAUCUUGUUUCUUCUCUUUCCUCUCUCUUUUCGUUUUUGUAUUUUUUUUGCGAGUCAUCUCUUUGGGUUCAACUUUCGACUUCAUCUAUUUCGGUAAGUGGAAUUUUUCCCUUUAGUUAUCGCAUUUCGACUAGGCAGUUAACAAAGGGUUCAUUUUACUCUCGUUUAGGUGAUGUUCAAAGGCUUUAAGCAGAUAUUCAGUGUGUGGAGACGAUUGGUUAUCAGAUUCAUCGCGGUAAGUUUUUGAAUCGUCAUUGGUUUAGUUUCUCAAGUUUUAUGUUGGGGGUAUUUGAUUGAUUGACAAAUCAAGUGAUUAAUUAAGGGAUAUAUUGGUCAAAUAUAGGUUUCUGAAGGCUCGGGUUACUUUGCACAGUGAAUAGAUACGAGGUGUGUACUCAAAACGUAGAAAAUGAGAUUCGGUGAAAAGCCAAAAUUGCUUGCUGUCGAGAAAUAAGAGAACCAAGAGAAAAUGAUAAGAAAAAUUGUAGAGAAAGGAAAUAAGGGUGUUAUAAGCUUGGAAAUCAACAUUCUGCACUAAAAUAGUUUUGGACAGCAGCAGUAGUCUAAAUUUGAAAAAUCAUCAAAAAUAGUGGAAAUUGAGUUAGAGGUUGAAUAAAAAAUGAAAUUAAAAUUUAUUAAGUCUAGUUUUUCAUGGAAGAAACAGUGUGGGCAAUGAAAUUGUAAGUUAUGAAAUAUAAUGAAUUUUGUGAGACAAGGUCAGAAUGGUUUCAGGUUCCCCUGUUCUGACUUUGGAAAAUCAUCAAAAUUUGUAAAAAAAUUAUUAGGGGCUUAAAUAUAUAGUUUAAAUCCUUAAUGAGUCUACUUUCAAGAGAAACAAACGGAAACAUCAUCAAAAUUUCGUACUAAGAGACAUAAUUUUUAAUAAGAAAAGGUUGAAGCUGUCAAACAGCAGAAUAGGGAUAACUUUGAAGAUUUUACUGUACUUAUUUGGUAAGCUAUAAAUUCUUAAAAUUUUAUGAUAGAAAGGUAUUUGAGUCUAGUUUCGAAAACAUCAAGCAGAUCUUAAUUUGGAAUUCUGUAGCUCAAGUUAUAAAUAAUUUAGUGACAAUUACUCAAGUAGACAACUUUGAAUGACAAUAUUAGUAAAUAGUGGAAACGUAUAUGGAUAUUUAGCUAGCAUGGGUUACAUUAAAAAUAGAUUACAUUGCCAAGGCCAAUUUGGGCCGAGUGGGCCACGCGGGCAUACAGGGCGUGUGGACCAAUUUUUACUGAAAUGUUUCUAAGGUUGCACAGGUCGCCCAAGUCGACUGUGAACCUACUGUAAGGUCGGUAAGCACUACUUAGACCCCUAAAUGUGUGAAAUUGACUAAAUGAUAUUUGUACUGAGCAUGUUAAUAGCUGAACUGAAUGUAUGUACUGAAAUUGCCUAAUAGCAUAUCAUCCAUGGUAUGUUGCAUUACAUUGGGUUGGGGGUUGUUAUUUGGAGGAAGUGUACUGAAAGGCUUUAAGCCUAAUUUACUGGGAGCUCAGCUGCAAACUACAGUUUUGUGCCAUAUUCAGUACUACUUAGAGUGUAGGGAUGGGUGGGUUGAUUAUAUCCCCACAUGGAGUGUAAGGUUGGACGGAGAUGGUGUGUAGAGGCUAGUUGGGUAGGAUUUUCAUAUUGCUUAACUAUUACUGCUACUGAUACUGGGAUGGGCUAAGGGCCUAUUGCCUUUUUGACACUGUACUGAGAUGGGCUAAGGCCCAAACUAUCACUGAUACUGAAAAGGGCUUAGGCCCAAGACGGUUAACUGUGCACUGUGAAUACUGAUUGAUUUUUUGUUUCCGCUUGAUUACACACUGAGUUUACGUAAACUCACCCUUUUUGUUUAAUGUGCAUAGGUAAUCCCAGACUUAGACGGAUAGGUGCGACGGAGGACUCAACGGUGACCACAGUAAUUUUUGGACUUUAUGGUUUUCAAUUAGACCUUCUGUGACUUUGGUUUUAAAUUUUGGGUUUUUAUUUAUUUGUUUAUUUUACUUUAUGGAUUUAUACCUGCUGGUCGUAGGAAUUUGUUUAUUUUACUUUAUGGAUUUAUACCUGCUGGUCGUAGGAAAUUCGAUUUUCAAAAAGUUAAAGUAUUUUCUAAAUGUUUCAAAACAAAUGUUUUAAAUGAAUAAAGAUGACUUUCUAAGUUCUUACAAAGGUUUACUAAAGAUAAUAACAUGGAAUGUUUUCAUCGUAACAACGAGGUUUCAAAAACACUAUCGUGUGACAUUGUCAGAUACAACCAUAAUGCCUAGGCUGAGUUUAGGGUGUUACACAAUUUGGCAUUAAAACACUUACCCGAGAUGAAAUCAACAACCUCACAAUCUUAAUUCACUAAAGGGUUAACCACCUCGCGAUUUCCACCUAAAACAAAACUCGCACAAUUAAAGAUACGAAACACAGCUACACAUAAAUCCCCCACUUUACAAAAAAUGUAGUAGAAAUCCCCGAAAGUUGAAACCAAAAAAAAAAAGAUACUUACGCAAGAAUCGAGUUGCAAUCUCUUUAAUCAAACACUUCCCUUUGAAAUUUAAUGACACAAGGAUCAAUAGACAAGAAAGCAACGAAAAUUAGGAGACGAAAGAUGAAGAAAGAAUAAAGUUUGAGAAAUUCUCUUUCGUUACUGGAAACUAACAUGAAACAAACAAAUAAGAGAAAUUGGGAGAAACAUGGAAUAUGUGAAUAAUGGGGAAACAAUUUUGGGGAAAUAUUUUUUUAAAAAUAAUAAUAAAAUAAAAAUACAUCCAAACUAACCAGACCCACUAAUCUAAUCCCCAUCUAAUAGAUUUUCUAGAGUUUUAUUAAAACCCAAAUUGCCUAAACUGCACGGCAACAAGAAAAAUUAACAAAAAUAUUCCCACUUGCACAGGCAAGGAUUCAAACGUAAGACCAAAGGAUAAAUUGAAGCCUUACCAUUGAACCAGUAAGCUCAUUCUUGUCAAAAUUUGAGCGAGAAUUAAAUUUAUGUUAGAUACUAGAAAUAGGAAUUGGGGGUAAAAUAACAAAAAUUCAAGAAACAUGAUUCGAAACCAAAACCUCUUACAUACAAACAUAACACUUACCCAUGAAACCAGAUUAAUUAACUUAACAAAAAAUUUCACAAUCUGAACCCAAAAUCAGAACGUGACCCCUCUUGAUUCCAACAAUCCAAUUUCUUCAAACCCAAUUUUUGGGAUGUGACAAGUUUAUUUAGCAAGCAAUGAAUUUCCACCAAAAAGAAGCUUUACAAGAUCGUAUCUAGCCAUAAUAUACCAAAACGACCUACAUUUAACAAACUAAAACAUGAUCAAACCUUCCAACAAGUUAAUAACCAAUACUCUUCAACCUAAUGAAGUUACACAAGUAAACAAACUCUUAUUAUCAUGCAUUAUAAUGCAUAACUCAAGAUUGAAAGUUCAUCACAGAGAACUUUAUAGGUUCGUUACUAAUCAAGCAUACGACAACAACCAAAAUACCAUUAAAUCAAAAGACUUAACCUAGGUACAUGCCAUUAACUAACUAUAUGGACAAAGAGUGCAAAAUUAGAAUGAGUUAAGCUACUUGGUCUGGGAUACUUGUCGAACCUUCAAUCUAUUAGAGAACCUAAUUAGAACUUGUGCAUGGAAACAAACAAAUUCGUAUGCAAAGUAAUGUAUACUUAGUGGUGUUAUCAUAAUUUAGAAUCCAAACAAGUUAAAGUUAAAUUAAAAGCAUAAUUGAAAUAUAACAAUUUAUAAAGUAACAAACUUUACAUAAUUCACAUUCUUCACAUAAUAAUCACAUUAUUCAUUUGCCAAAACACCCUCAAGGUAUUCGCAAGACAUACUGGAAUAUAAGAAUUUUCGACGCACCCUUAGGGUAUUAGCGUCUCAUUUAACAUAAUAUAGGUCAAUUUCAAUUUCAGUACUUUAAACAUAAUCAAUGAUCAUUUAUAAUUCACAUUUCAGUACUUUAAACAUAAUCAAUGAUCAUUUAUAAUUCACAUUCAUUUUAUUUUCUUAACCCUCAUUAGCUAACUUGGAUUUGAGAACAGAUACACAGAUCAACCCACCAAUACACUAGUACACACACUGAAGUUCUAAUCGUACGGUAUUUGAGCUGCUGAUAUGUUCUUGACUCAAAGGGAAUUAGAUAAUUGUCACUUAAUGAUACAUGCUCAGCGCUAGAUCUCCCACCUACAAAAGGAACCUAAUGGCAUGCCAACUAUACUUGUAACUCUGUUUGAUGCUGAUAAUAGGACAUUAUCCAUUAUCAACCAUCACUCAAACAUAUAAUGAUCAAUAUAUUAUAGCAUUAUUAUAUUGUAAUACAAUAUUCACACAUGUACAUAUACAUAUUUCAAACAUAACCCAAUCGACUCAAUUGAUCAAAUUUAUUCAUACGUCGAAUUAUUCUCUACACCAGUAUUAUCUGAUUAUAAUUAAUUACCUAUUUAAGCAUAAAUUGAAAUGAAAGUAUGUAAGCAUAAACUGGAAUAGCUAUUCGCGGAUGGCCUUUUCUUUUCCUUUAUCUUUGGACGUCCCAGUGUCCUCUUUAGCUACGUUUGAUAAUCGAUUAUGGAAAUUCGUUAGUACACAAUUGAAAAAGGCACAACUAACAAUUUAAGCAUGAAUGUAUGUUUUAAAAUUAGGUCUCUUCUUAACCCUAAGGUCCGACAUGCUCGUAUCUUUAGGUUUUCCUGAUCGAAUCUAAAUUCAACUUUGUAUAUAUACUACAAGAACCUCAACUUUCAAUCUAAUCAGUGUUUGAUUGAAACAAAUAAACAGAAUUUAACUAGAGUAUUAUUUCUCAAAUUUGACUAAAAGUGUUUAAGCUUAACAUCACCUAUUUCCUUACUAGCAUAGUUCUCACAUGCACCAAAUAAUUAACAACUAAAAUAUAUCUUCAAGUCUUUAAGCUUAAAUCAAACUUAUUCUUACAUCACCUAUUUCCUUACUAGCAUAGUUCUCACAAGCACCAAAUUUAACAACUAAAAUUUCAUAGUUUCAAUUUAAUUUCACAAUGUUCCGUACAAUGGUAACUUAAAUGACCUCAUAUAAUAUUAACAUUUAAACAAUGGGUUAAUUAGAACUGGUUUCCUACUAGACAAAUCUAUAAAAUUUAAGAAGAAAAUUACAUGUUUACCUUGUUAAUUUGUUGGCUGAUUAUAAAGGGUGAAGCUUUGCCUAUUUCUUCUCUUUAAAUUCGGUUUAUGGAGAAGAUGAUGAUGAAGACAUCUUUUCUCUCUGUCCCUCUUAACAUGCAUAUAUAUAAUAAUUAACUCACUCAUUAAUCGUUAGAUUAAGUUAAUUAAACCAUGACCCUAGGGCCAUUAAUCCAUUUCUUAAUCUUUAGUGGAAAUAGAUGGUGAUGAUACUUCUUGAGCCCGAGGAAGAAGACAGUGAUGAGAGUAGGGGGAUAUGGAUGAGUUUCUUCAUGAUGACCUGGAUGAAGGUUGGUCAUUUCUUUCUUAUUGUCUGUCCAUUUUAGUUUUUCGUUUCUUGUCGUAUUAUUAUUUCAUUUUAUAGUUUAAUUUUGGUUAUUUUAUUUUGUAGGUACCCUACAUGUUUUGGCUAAACAUCGGCUUUUGCAUUAGUGUUGGCUUUUUUAAGCUUCUAUAAAUUGCAUUAGAAGAAAAAACACUGUCCAUAAACUCACGACAAAUUUAAUUGCUCAAGUGUUGCUUAUCAAAUCAAAGAAGGAAAAUAAUGAAAAAACAACACAAGUUGAUUAGCCAUAUUUUCACGAUGGAGAAACUGUAAGCCAUACCAAUAUUAUCAUUUUUAUAAUUUCUUCCAAAAUAAAAAUGUAAAAUAUUAUCUUAAUUUUAUCUAAUAUCUUAUCGUUAUUCUUUUAUUCAGAACAGUACUUGACAGCAAAAACAACACUUAUUUACUGCCAGUAGAUAGUAGAUACACCAUUAAGCAACAUUUAACACUUAGGGUGCGUUUGGUUCGCUGUAUUGGAUUAGAGGUGUAAUAGCAAAUCAACUGUUUGGUUGAAUGUAAUGGAAUAGAGGCGUAAUAGUAAUCUUGUGUUUGGUUGAAUGGAAUAGAGGUGUAAUAGCAUGGAGGCGAGGACGACGUGAGCGCCGACAUGCAGGGGAGAAGCUUCAUGGGAUUACAUGUCUUUGCCUCCGCCGUGCGAGUUUCACUUGAAAAUAUCACCAGCGCCAGUGCCACCACACACAAGGCAACAAAGGAAACUCUCAUCAUCUUUUUUUUUUUUUCUCCUACACAAGCUGCUAAUACAAAGAAAGCAAAGAAGUUAAAUGGUACUGGGUGCAUUUUGGGGUAUGAUUUGAGGCACAAUUUAUAGACGUUGCGAUUGGUAACUCCUCAGAUGUUACAGUUUGCACCAUGAUUUACGGAUGUUAAACUCUCUAAGUAAUUUUGAUUAUUCUAUUAUACUCAUAUUUGAAAUUUAAUGUUUAGAUUUUUUAUAUAAUACAUUUGUCAUCAUUCGUUUUACAGUUUGAUCCUAAUUUUGUUUGGAUCGAAGGUGAUAUUUAGAUAAAGUUUUUCCAACAAUAUCAUUUAUAGGAUUCGAAUUUGAUACAAAUAUUUAAGAAAUAAGUCUACUUUAAACUAAAAAAUUUAAAAAUUAAAUUAUAUUAAAUUAAAAUAUAAAAAUUAAAUUUUAUAGUAAAAAAUCAUAAUCACAGUGUGACUUAAAACGAUGUAUGUUAAUACCAUAUUUUAUAAUUUGAUAUAAAAAAAAUUAGUAUAUUUAAAAAAAAUAUUUGUAUUUAAAUUGAUUGGAGUAGUUUUAUGUUUAGCCCAAACGUAAGGAUAGAAUGUUUAGAAAAAAAAUUUGGGUAAUGGGAAUUUGGUAAAAUGGUGGCACCUGUCUUAUUCUUGUAAAAGUAACCAGCAACGUUGCCAAGGAAUCGAAGUUACUGGUUGUCGUCACUCGUCAUAGUCGACAAAACAAUAGGUUUGACCAAUAAAAAAGUCAGUUAUGGGUUUAAAAUUUGGUAUUUGUGUCAAGAUUAAAAUUUUAAAAUUCUAAAUUUAUAGGAUUAAUAAUGAUUUAAUUUGAGAAGAUUAAAUAAAUCUAAAAUUUAGGCAUCGUACAAGACUAAUGACAAAAUUUAACUAAACAGAUUUAAAUGCUAUAGUUUAAUCAGGACUGAAAUUUCAAAAUUUGAAAAGUACAAAAACUAAAAUUGAUUAAUUCAAAAACUAAAGGGAAUAAAAUCGACCAUUCCUUUAGAGUAAAAUUCCUGUAGGACGAAAUGUCAUAAAUCAAGAUUCUAACACAAGCCAAUGGAUGAUACUCAGAUAAUCCAAACAAAAAGAAUGUCCACAUUCUCAUCAAGGGCCCAAUGAUCUAGAGGAUGGGCAACACCAUUAACCAAACUACGAGCAUAAUAAAAAGAAACAAAAAUCAAACCACUCACACAAAGUACGGGCCUCCUCAAUGAUUUAACCAUCAAUAGACAAGUCCAAACUACUACUCUUAAGUUUGUGAAUCACUAAAAAAUCUAACUCAACAAUAAUGCCGCUGAAGUCCAAAUCCCUAGUCAUCAUAAGGAUGUUGUGUAACAGUCCGGUUUAGGCCUUAGUUGGAUAGUGAUUUCGAGACCACGAAUCUGAGUCAAAAAAAUAUUUUAAUAUUAUUUUUGGUGUCUACAACAUGUUGAUUUAUAUGUGUAAAAAUUUCGUGUGAAAAUUUUAUCGUUUGUGUGCUCAAUUUUAAAAAAAAAAGGACUUAAUCCCGUAAAGUGUAAAAGUUGUGUUCUUAUAGUUAAAGGUGUCUAUUAGCUAUGGAACCUUAAAGUGAAGGUCCUUAACUGGUAAUUAUCCCAUUUUUGAGAUAGUGGAUGAUAGUGGGAUGGCACAUGGUGUAAUUAUUAAUAUUAUUAAUGGUUAGUUAGGUAAAUUAGUAAAUAAUGUUAAAUUAAAAUAAAACAAAAGGUAUUGUCAUCUUCCACUAUUCAUCUUCACCAAAAAUUCAAGGAGAAGAAAGCCAUUGUUGGCUUUAACAUUCGGCCAAUCUCUCAUUGCUCAAAUAGGUACGGUUUUAGCUUCGUUUUUAAUGAUUUCUACUUUUUUGAGUUCGUUGCAGCUUAAUCUAGCUAGCCCGUAUCUUCGAUUUCAAAACUGUUAAAGUAUUUGAAUGUUUCCAUUGUUGAAUGCAUGAGUAUUUUGAUAGUUGAUGAUGGAAAAUAAAUAUUUGUUGAUAGAUUAAUAUGUUUAAUUAAAUGAUUUUUGAUAAAAAUGUGUAUUAAGGAUUAAAUUAUAAAAUUUGUAAAUUGAAGGGUCAAAUUAUGAAAUAAAUUCAAUAAAUGAGCUGCUAAGGACCUAAGGUAAAUUCGACCUAACAUGGGUUUGUUGAAAUUUUGAGUAAUUUGUGUUAUUUUGAAAUAGGGACUAAAUUGUAAAAAUAUGAAAUGUUAGGGGCUAAAAUGUAAAAUGCCCAAAUUAUGUAUUUUUAGAUAAAAUUGAAUGAAUAUGUUAUUAAACAAGUCAAAUUUGAAUUGAUUAGAUCAAGAAAAGAGGAGAUAGGAUUUGGAUCGGGGAAAAAUAAAAAAAAAUUCGAAUAGUCGUCCGGUUCGUUCGUGUCCGUACGAGGUAAGUUCAUAAGUGAAUAAUUGUUGUUAAAUUCAUAUGAAAAUGUAUUUAAUUGUGCCGAGUUGAAUUUUAGUAACUAUAUAUGUGUAUGUCGAAUUAAUAUAAAUAUAGGAGAAGUAACUACGAGCUUGAAACGAACGAAUUAUGACGUCCAAAAGCCCCGUGCGAACCAUAGGAAUAGUUAGGAUACACAUGUCAUGACAUAGGAUUCCGAUAUGAGUUAUCGUGUAAAACCACGUCUGGGACGUUGCCGUCGAUUUGAGAUUUACGUGUAAGACCAUGUCUUGGACGUCGGCAUUGUAUACGAUUCCGUGUAAGACCACGUCAGGGACGUUGGCAUUGUAAGAGCUUUUGAGCUAUCCGAGUAUCCUUAUUGAUUCCGAACGGUUCAAUGGGCAAUAUCGAGAAAUGAAUGACUAUAUGCAAGUAUAUCCGAUUCAGGUACGUACGAAGUGUAUAUGAUAUUCAAGAAUGAAAAGUGAGUAUGUUUCAAAUGAUGAUACGUGAAAUACAUAACAAUGAAUGAAAUGAAUGUAUAUAAAUGAACGUUGUGAUACAUAUGCUCGUUAUAUGAAAUUGUAAUGAAAUAAGCUUAAUGAUAUUCAAUAGUUCGAGUACCAUGAAAUUGUGGUCCUAUGUUUCGAACAUGGGAUUUAUGAAAUAUGAAACAUGAUUUUUAGGUAUGCUAGUUUGGUUUGAAAGAUGAUUAGAUAAAUGUUAUUAAUAAGGCUAAAUUAUUAAAUAUGUUAUGUAUAUGUGAAAGAGGUAAAUAAGCAUGUUUUGAUUUGUUGGUUAUGUGUUUUGUAUGACCGAAUGUGAUAUAUAUUUGAAUGAGGAGUAUAUAUGGUUCGAACAGUGGAAUUAUGAAGCAUGUGUAAUAUGAAUUUGAUGUAUGGUAGUUAAUUUGAAUUUUUAAUUGAUAAAUGAGAUUGAAAUGGUUGAGAUUUGCUAAAUUCGGUCUAGUUAAAGUGAAUUAUAAAUAUAAUUGAGAUGAUUUAUUUGCUUAUGGCUUACUAAGCUUUCAACACUUACUCUGUGUUUUUUCCUAUGUUAAUAGAGCUUCGGAGACUUGUUCGGGUUGGAAGUCAUAGGAGACCUCAUCACACUAUCCGGUUAUCGCUUCGGUAAAUAUAAGCUUUGAGUUUUUGGUUAUGUGGCAUGUAUAGGCUAGUUUUGAUAUGUUUGGUUUUGAAAUUUGUAUAUAUGUAUAUAGCCAUGCGAAAAUGGCUUGAUCAUGAUACUAAUGUUGGUAUAUAUAUUCGGUCAUGUUAUAAGCUUAAUUUGGAGGUAUGUUUCAUGUUAAGUAUGUUUGUGAUGUUGGUUAUAAGAUUCGACAAUGAGAAGUGUUAAUGAUGAUGCAUUGUAGUUGUGUUUUAGUGGGUUAAUAGGGUGUGUUUUUAGGAGAUAAUUGGGGAAAAGUUAUCAAAAUAAGAUUUUCUCCUUAUAAGUUUUCUAGUUUCUUUUUUUCCUUUUCCCAACAAAUUUUCUGACGUUAGACUUUUAUUUCUCUGCCAUGUUUUCUCCCUUCUUAUUCACUUUUGGUUUUUGUUCCCCUUUGGCCGAAUGUUAUUUCUUCCCUUUCCCCUCUCUUUUCAUUUUUGUAUUUUUUUUGCGAGUCAUCUCUUUGGGUGCAACUUUCGACUUCAUUUGUUUCAGUAAGUGGAAUUUUUCCCUUUAGUUAUCACAUUUCGAUUAGGCAGUUAACAAAGGGUUCGUUUUACUCUCGUUUAGGUGUUGUUCAAAGGUUUUAAGCGGAUAUUCCAGUGUGUGGAGACGACUUGUUAUUGGAUUCGUCGCGGUAAGUUUUUGAAUCGCUGUUGGUUUAGUUUCUCGAGUUUUAUGUUGGGGAUAUUUGGUUGAUUGACGAAUCAAGUGAUUAAUUAAGGGAUAUAUUGCUUGCGGUAAGUUUUUGAAUCGCUGUUGGUUUAGUUUCUCGAGUUUUAUGUUGGGGAUAUUUGGUUGAUUGACGAAUCAAGUGAUUAAUUAAGGGAUAUAUUGCUUGCUGUCUAGAAAUAAGAGAAAUAAGAGAAAAUGAUACGAAAAGUUGUUGAGGUAGGAAAUAAGGGUGUUAUAAACUUGGAAAUCAACAUUCUACACUAAAAUAGUUUUGGACAACAGCAGUAGUCUAAUUUUGAAAAAUCAUCAAAAAUAUUGUAAAUUGAGUUAGAGGUUGCAUAAAAUAUAAAAUUAAAGUUUAUUGAGUCUAGUUUUCCAUGGAAGAAACAAUGUAGGCAAUGAAAUUGUAAGUUAUGAGAUAUAAUGAAUUUUGUGAGCCAAUGUCAGAAUGGUUUUGGGUUCCCCUAUUCUAAAUUUGGAAAAUAAUUUGUAAAAAAAAUAAUUAGGGGCUUAAAUAUAUACAUUUAAAUCUUAAAUCUUUAAUGAGUCUACUUUCAAGAGAAACAAACAAAAACAUUAUCCAAAUUUUGUACUAAGAGACAAAUAAUUUUUAAUAAGGAAAGGUUGAAGCUAUUAAACAGCAGAAUAGAGAUAACUUUGAAGAUUUUACUGUACUUAUUUGGUAUGCUAUAAAUUCUGAAAAUUUUAUGGUAAAAAGAUAUUUGAGUCUAGUUUCAAAAACAUCAAGAAGAUCUUAAUUUGGAAUUCUAUAACACAAGUUAUAAAUAAUUUAGUGACAAUAACUCAAGUAGACAGCUCUGAAUGGUCAUAUUAGUAAUUAGUGGAAACAUAUAUGAAUAUUUAGCUAGCAUGGGUUAGAUUAAAAAUGGAUCACACGACCAAGGCCAAUUUUUACUGAGCAUGUUAAUAUCUGAAUUGAAUAUGUGUACUGAAAUGAUUCUAUGGUUGCACGAGUCGCCCUAGUCGACUGUGAACCAACUGUAAGGUCGGUAAGCGCUACUUAGGCCCCUAAAUGUGUGAAAUUGACUGAAUGAUAUUUGUACUGAGCAUGUUAAUAUCUGAAUUGAAUAUAUGUACUGGAAUUGCAUAACAUCAUAUCAUCCAUGGUAUGUUGCAUUGCAUUGGGUUGGGGUUGUUAUUUGGAGGAAGUGUACUGAAAGGCUUUAAGCCUAAUUUACUGGCAGCUCAGCCGCAAACUACUGUUUUGUGCCGCAUUCGGUAAUAUUGGGAGUGUAGGGAUACGUGGGUGAUUAUAUCCCCACAUGGAGUGUAAGGUUGGACAGAGAUGGUGUGUAGAGGCUGGUUGGGUAGGAUUUUACUAUUGCUUAACUGUUACUGCUAUUGAUACUGUGAUGGGCUAAGGCCCUACUGCAUUUUUGACACUAUACUGAGAUGGACUAAGGCGCAAACUGUCACUAAUACUGAAAAGGGCUUAGGCCCGAGACGGUUCAACUGUGCACUGUGAAUACUGAUUGAUUGUUUGUUUCUGCGGGAUUACACAUUGAGUUUAAUGAGCACAGGUAAUCCCUAAACUUAGACGGAUCGAUGCGAUGGAGGACUCAGCGAUGACCGCAGUAAUUUUUGGACUUCAUGGUUUUGAAUUACGAUUUAUGAUUUGAUUAUUAUUUAUUAUUUGGGUUGUAAUUUAAGGACCCUUUAGGACUUUGGCAUUAAAUUUUGAGUUUUUAUUUAUUUAUUUACUUUACCU
rnacentral:lncRNA from 1 species